ensembl:snoRNA
AUACAGGAAACGAUGAUGUUUAAAUUCACCCACAUAUCUGAACACCUUUGUGUGGACAGUCCAUUUUCUGAGUUUCUUGAU